AUUGAAUGCUGGCGGCCGGACUAACACAUGCAAGUCGAACGAGUGGCGGACGGGUGCGUACUGUCUGGGACACUGCCUGAUGGAGGGGGAUAAAUACUAGAAACGGUCGAUAUUAACGCAUACCAUCAGAGUCGCCCAGGUGGGAUUAGCUAGUUGGUGGGGUAACGGCUCACCAGGUCGACGAUCCCUAGCUGGUAUGAGAGGAUGACCAGACACACUGGAACUUAGACACGGGCCUGACUCCUACGCGGGGAAGCAGUGGGGAAUAUUGAACAAUGGGCGCAAGCCUGAUGCAGCCAUGCCGCGUGGAUGAAGCAGGCCUUCGGGUUGUAAAGUACUUUCAGCGGGGAGGCGUUACCCGCAGAAGAAGCACCGGCUAACUCCGUGCCAGCAGCCGCGGUAAUAC
rnacentral:rRNA from 1 species